AGAGAAUCUUACAACAUCAUAGCUCAUCAGGCCGGGCACGGUGGUUCACGCCUGUAAUCCCAGCACUUUGUGAGGCCGAGGUGGGUGGAUCACCUGAGGUCAGGAGUUCAAGACCAGCCUGGCCAACAUGGUAAAACCACGUCUCUACUAAAAAUACAAAAUUAGCCGGAUGCGGUGGUGCUUGCCUGUAAUCCCAGCUACUCAGGAGGCUAAGGCAGGAGAAUCGCUUGAGCCUGGGAGGCGGAGGUUGCAGUGAGCCAAGAUCACACCAUUGCACUCCAGCCUGGGCGACAGAGCAAGACUCUGUCUCAAAAAAAAAAAAAUCAUAGCUCAUCUAGUCUACCCUCCUUAUUUUACAG
rnacentral:lncRNA from 1 species